rnacentral:rRNA from 1 species
AUUGAACGCUGGCGGCAGGCCUAACACAUGCAAGUCGAGCGGAGCGGCGGAGGGGGGAGGAAUGGCUAGGAAUCUGCAUGGGAGUGGGGGAGAACGUCCGGAAACGGGAGCUAAUACCGCAUACUAUCAGAUGAGGCUAGGUCGGAUUAGCUAGUGGGUGGGGUAAAGGCCUACCAAGGCGACGAUCCGUAACUGGUCUGAGAGGAUGAGCAGUCACCCUGGAACUGAGCCACGGUCCAGACUCCUACGGGAGGCAGCAGUGGGGAAUAUUGGACAAUGGGCGAAAGCCUGAUCCAGCCAUGCCGCGUGUGUGAAGAAGGUCUUCGGAUUGUAAAGCACUUUAAGUUGGGAGGCGUUACCAACAGAAUAAGCACCGGCUAACUUCGUGCCAGCAGCCGCGGUAAUAC